CCUACGGGUGGCAGCAGUGGGGAAUAUUGGGCAAUGGGCGCAAGCCUGACCCAGCAACGCCGCGUGAAGGAAGAAGGCUCUCGGGUUGUAAACUUCUUUUAAGAGGGAAGAGCAGAAGACGGUACCUCUUGAAUAAGCCACGGCUAACUAAGUGCCAGCAGCCGCGGUAAUACGUAGGUGGCAAGCGUUGUGCGGAUUUACUGGGUGUAAAGGGCGUGCAGGCGGGAACGUAAGUCAGAUGUGAAAUCCCGCGGCUCAACCGCGGAACUGCGUUUGAAACUGGUUUUCUUGAGUACCGGAGAGGUAAUCGGAAUUCGUGGUGUAGCGGUGAAAUGCGUAGAUAUAAGGAAGAACACCAGUGGCGAAGGCAGAUGACUGGACGGCAACUGACGGUGAGGCGCGAAAGCGUGGGGAGCGAACAGGAUUAGAUACCCCGGUAGUC
rnacentral:rRNA from 1 species